rnacentral:lncRNA from 1 species
UAGCAUUACCGGUUCUUUUUUGUUCAAGGCCAAAUGUUUGUGAAGAACAGAAGCUGACUGUGGUAGGAAUCCUACAGCCCUGUGUCCAGGCCUUCACACACAUGGUCAAGCUUUGGAAACAAGGCUGUACCCACCUGGAUGGUGUGCGGGUUAUGAAAGAAGGAGAGGUGCUGAAUGAGAUAUCAGGACAUUUGCUCCACAUAGCAGCUCUAUGAAAGAAGUGUUUUAUUAUCAUCCCUAUUUUGAAAUGAGUAGAUGGAGACAAAGAGCAACUAAGUAAAUUACCCAAGGUCAGUGUGAAUAACAGAACUCAGAUG